AAAUCACAGAGUAUACCCAUUUAAAGCAUUCUUGUCACUAACACAAUACUCUUGUCAACCUGUCGUUCUAUCAAUCAUAAACUGUUGAUCACAAACAUUGAAACAGGAACUUAGUCAAGAAGCACAACAUGUACAAUUCUGUCUUAACAAUGUAAUCUUCAGUCAGCUACCAACCAGAAGUUCCUAUUUACAGAGACUACUAACUCCAAAGGAAACACAUCCUCUCUCAAGGCUUCUGUAAAGCUAGCACCUUCUCAGGAAAUGCAUCCUCUCUCACUAUUGUAGAUGGUAUUCUACUUGGCACAUAACUGGAAGCAGCUUGAAUGCAGCUUGAAUGCUGACCUCCAAUUUCCUGAUUCCCACAUCUUUUACACCACAG